UAUAUAACUGACCCAGUCUGGUUUGCAGAUGCAACGUGUGCAAGACCCAGAUGACGGGGAACUGUGAAGCCAUAUUUCAACUGUGAGGAAAAUUUGCUUCCUGCGUCUGUUGAGACAUAAUUACAGUUGCUGAUAAAUGCCAUACCUUAUCUUUCUUUUAACAAAUUGCACAGUUCUUGCCAAAAUAAAUGUCAUUAUCUGUAUGCUUCAGGAAAUUCCCUAAAUUGGUGUGUGUGAGUGAGUGUGAGAGAAAGAAAGGUAGUGUGUGUUUUGGGAAGGGUAGUGUUGGAUAUAUUCAUUCCUUCUUUGGUGAUAAUUAGGCUAUUCUAGAAAGCACAGUGUCAUUCUUGAAAUAAAAGAUUUCCUGUUUAAACACAUGUCAAAAGAGCAUUGCACCUUGAAGAUUCUCACUGGGGUUGAUGUGUCUAAUAUCACUUCAUGAAACCUUUCUCUUGAGACAGAAAUGUGCUAAAUAAGGACAAAGUUUUUUGUUUCAUUUAGAGAAGAAUAAAGGGAAGAAAAAUGAAAACUCAAUCUUUAUGUCAGCUCCAAGGUGUCAGGGCAUAGAGGGCUUUCCUAGUUUUAUGAGAAUUUGUACUACUGAUUUUUAUAGAUUCUUGUUUUUGAGAUGAGUAGAUCUUGGGAAAUUGUUGCAUUACAAUGGCAUUUCACUGUGAUUCCUCUCAAGCUCAAAUCAGUUCUCUAACCUAAUGACAACUUGCCUCUGGUUUACUCUCCUGUGAAAUGUCAGCUCCAUUUUCCCAGAAGUUGUGUGUUUACGAUGAGUCAGUGCUUUUCCUCAGUGUGAAAGUUAUCAGCCCUCUUGAUUUUGGUGUAUGUGCUUAAUUCAAAGUAUCUAAACCUGUAGUCUAAUCUGUACAUGCUCUGUUAAUUGUGUUAUUGAUGAUUUUAUCUGGCUUGAAGAUCGAUUCAAACUUUUUAAUCUGAUAGAAAUAAAGUUUUUUCUGCUUAU
rnacentral:lncRNA from 1 species